rnacentral:lncRNA from 1 species
CGAUAACCUCGAGUCCGAGUUCGAACUGAUCCGAUCCGUCAUCGACGAUUUUCCCCUGAUUUCCAUGGAUACGGAGUUCCCGGGCGUCGUGGUCCGACCCGAUCCCAACGACCCCAAUUACCGCCACCGCGAGCCCGCCGCGCACUACCUCAUGCUCAAGGCCAACGUCGAUCGCCUCAAUCUGAUCCAGGUUGGCCUCACCCUCUCGGACGACAGCGGGAAUCUGCCCGAUUUGGGGACUAAGAAUCUGUAUAUCUGGGAAUUCAAUUUCCGGGACUUCGACGUCGCGCGGGACGCCCACGCGCACGAUUCGGUAGAGUUGCUUCGCCGGCAGGGG